rnacentral:rRNA from 1 species
GACGAACGCUGGCGGCGUGCUUAACACAUGCAAGUCGAACGGUGAACUCCGCUUGCGGGGGGAUCAGUGGCGAACGGGUGAGUAACACGUGGGCAACCUGCCCUCAGCUCUGGGAUAACUCCAAGAAAUUGGGGCUAAUACCGGAUAUGACCGCUGACCGCAUGGUCUGGUGGUGGAAAGAUUUAUCGGCUGGGGAUGGGCCCGCGGCCUAUCAGCUUGUUGGUGGGGUAGUGGCCUACCAAGGCGACGACGGGUAGCCGGCAUGAGAGGGGGACCGGCCCCACUGGGACUGAGGGACGGCCCAGCCGCCAACGGGGGGCAGCAGGGGGGAAUAUGGCGCAGUGGGCGAAAGCCUGAGGCAGCGGCGCCGCGUGGGGAAUGACGGCCUUCGGGUGGUAAACCUCUUUCAGCAGGGACGAAGCUAAAGUGACGGUACCUGCAGAAGAAGCACCGGCCAACUACGUG